CCCUUUUCCGAGUGAAUCUCAUCUAUUCAGUCAUUGAACGGGAAGCGACAUUACCACAACAAACAUGGCAGGCUGACGGAAGGAUGCUCAGAGGCGUGGCCUGAGAACGCCUGCCUCCUCGCCCCGCCUCCGGGGCUCUGGAAGUGGCGUCCUCAGUGCUUACGCUGUGCGCUAAGCGGCUCCGGAGCCGAGGCUGGCUGGAGAGGGAGGCAAGCGCGCGGAGCCCCGGGAUGGAGGAGCCAGCCCUGCAGAGGAAGUGCGUGUUGGGUGCCCGGAAGAGGAAGACGUCCAGGCCGGCCCAAGAGGUGUCCCAGAAGCUGCCCAAAGCCCCCACGUCCUCGCUGGGCCUGCAUGAGGACCCCAACGCCGAGCAGGAGAUGGAACCGGAUGGCCAGGACCGGCCCCGCAGCAGGGAGGCGCCGGACCUCUCGGUCACCAAGCAGGGGCCAUUGGGAGCAGUCAGCGCCAGGGCCGCCCAAGAGGCCCCCCACGGGGAAGACAUCGGCCUGUUAGACCGCUGGAUCCUGGCCCUCGCACAGAGGAGGGGCAUCCUGUGGCUGCCCCCCUCCGACUUCCAGUUCCCCAAGAGGCUGAUGAGCUCAGGCGCCAGCCAGAAGUAGGGGCGCUGCAGCGCCCAGCUCCUUCGGGACUACCCGUUUGCCCGGUACUCUCGGCACCUGGACGGAGUCUUCUGUGGGCCCAGCUUUGUGUUUAACAGCCACAAGGAGACCGUCUUGGCAUCCAGCCCUUUGAAGGACUGGUCCAAUGGCAAAAAGAUCCUUGAGAGGCACAGCAGGUCCCAGGAGCACGGCGGGGCCGCGGUCAAGACGGAGGCAAGAGUGCAAGGAUCAGUUGAUCGAGUGGGGCCAGCCCGCCCUGGGGCAGAUGGUCAUCCUACUCUGCGGCCCACAGGGCAUCUUGUUGGGCCUGAGGCCCACCCUUGCCAAGAC
rnacentral:lncRNA from 1 species